rnacentral:rRNA from 1 species
GACGAACGCUGGCGGCGUGCUUAACACAUGCAAGUCGAACGGAAAGGCCCUGCUUUUGUGGGGUGCUCGAGUGGCGAACGGGUGAGUAACACGUGAGUAACCUGCCCUUGACUUUGGGAUAACUUCAGGAAACUGGGGCUAAUACCGGAUAGGAGCUCCUGCUGCAUGGUGGGGGUUGGAAAGUUUCGGCGGUUGGGGAUGGACUCGCGGGUUAUCAGCUUGUUGGUGGGGUAGUGGCUUACCAAGGCUUUGACGGGUAGCCGGCCUGAGAGGGUGACCGGCCACAUUGGGACUGCGGGACGGCGCAGACUGCAACGGGAGGCAGCAGUGGGGAGUCUUGCCCAACGGGCGGGAGCCUGAUGCAGCAGCGCCGGGGUCGGGAUGACGGCCUUCGGGUUGUGAACCGCUUUCGCCUGUGACGAAGCGUAAGUGACGGUAACGGGUAAAGAAGCACCGGCUAACUACGUG